UACGUAGGGUGCGAGCGUUGUCCGGAAUUAUUGGGCGUAAAGGGCUCGUAGGCGGUGUGUCGCGUCGGCCGUGAAAACCUGCAGCUUAACUGUGGGCUUGCGGUCGAUACGGGCAUCACUGGAGUUCGGCAGGGGAGACUGGAAUUCCUGGUGUAGCGGUGAAAUGCGCAGAUAUCAGGAGGAACACCGGUGGCGAAGGCGGGUCUCUGGGCCGAUACUGACGCUGAGGCGCGAAAGCCAGGGGAGCAAACGGG
rnacentral:rRNA from 1 species